rnacentral:rRNA from 1 species
GGGCAAUGCUUGUAGGUGGGAAUACUUAACACAGAAGACACCAUGAAAAACACAGCUUCCAGUUGCCAGGUCCAGCACUUUCAUGUCUGAAACCACAAACCUUGAUGCAUCGAUUCAGCUCAGCUCUAGUUUUCCUGCAGAAUCUGCCAUCGCAUACAGCCAUGAAGCUCCCAUUAUUCAGUUUGGAAGCGCUUAGAAUCACGAAGGAGAUGGUGAAGCAUUUCCAUGAGUUUGUGUCCACAAGGCUCGGUUCCCUCUCCAAGUGUACAGCAGAUCUGUUCAGACGCUCUUACUUGUUUCUGGUAUUCAAAAGCAAUCCUUUGGUAGUCCAGCUUAUUUACCUCAUGUCAAUAUCUUUUGCUGGUUUCCUUGCUCUGAAGAACCUCGCACCACUGAAUAAGCCAUCUCCAAGGAACUUGGAUCUGAUAUUCACCUCUGUGUCCACAGUGACGGUGUCAAGCAUGGCAACAAUUGAGAUGGAGGACUUCUCUGGCCAGCAGCUCUGGGUUUUCAUCAUACUGAUGAUAUUGGGAGGAGAAGUGUUCACUUCUAUGGUAGGGCUGCACUUCAAAAAUGCUCGGGCAAACACUGAGGGUGCUCUCCAGACAAGAUUGGCUUUCAUAAGCAGGGACAUCGAAUCCUCUGAUGAUUUCAACAACAGCAGUCAGAAUUAUAUGGAAGGCAUCCAGCCAGAGGAAACCAUGCCACACAACCAGGUACAGGAAAGCAAAGGGAUGAAUCAUAAAUCUCGCAAUAUUUUGGCUCAUGUAGUAGCAGGCUAUUUCAUAGCCGCAAUAGUUUGCAGCUCUGUAGUCAUUACCAUCUUCCUAUGGAUUGACUCCGAUGCAAGGCAUCUACUGAAGAGUAAGCAUAUCAAAAUGUGGACAUUCUCAAUCUUCACAGCAGUAUCAUCAUUUGCAAACUGUGGCUUCACUCCGUUAAAUGAUAGCAUGGCAAUUUUCAAAAAUAACCCGACUUUCCUUCUUCUAGUUACCCCACAGAUUCUUGUAGGCAACACUUUGUUUGCGCCACUGUUGAGGUUAAGCAUAUGGACCUUGGGAAAGCUGAGCAGCAGAGAAGAGUACGCCUACAUCCUUCAGCACCCAAAGGAGAUUGGAUACAGGCAUUUGCAACCUCAUAAGAAUUCUGUCCAAUUGGUUCUGACUGGGGUGAUGCUAAUUUUGCUGCAAGCGAUGCUUAUUUGUUAUUUUGAAUGGGAUUCGAAAUCCUUGGAGGGAAUGGGAUGGUUCCAGAAAUUGAUAGGCUCUCUGUUCCAGAGUGCCAAUUCAAGACACGCUGGUGAAACUGUCAUUGACAUCUCGACCCUUUCUCCACCGAUUAUGGUGAUAUUUGCACUUGUCAUGUACCUUCCUUCUGGUACUUCAAUCCUUGCUACAUGUGGUGAUAACCGAAGCUUAGCGGAUAAAAAGGAAAAUCCGAAUGGCAGAGCAACGUGGAAGAAGUUUGCCAUGACCAAGCGUACUUGUUUAGUAAUAAUCACGAUUUUGGCAUGUAUAACUGAGAGGAAGUCAAUGACUGCCGAUCCACUCAAUUUCAGCAUCUUCAGCGUAAUAUUCGAAGUGAUGAGAGACGCCUCGUACGGGUUCGUCGGCAGAUGGAGCGACAAAGGGAGACUGAUCAUCAUCCUGGUGAUGUUCCUCGGAAGGUUCAAGGCGUACACCCUCAGAGGGAAGAAAACCCUGAAUGUGCAUCCAUGUAGAAGGACAGCACCGCAUCAGAGGCCAGAGGUGGCUGGAAAUUAGGAGCCUGCAUAAGAUGGACCCUGAGCGUGUAGAUCGGCUCGAAUGGCACCGCUUUGGGCGUGACCAAAGGAGAAUGUAUUAUAGCAACCCUAAACGACCAGAGAUGUUCAUAGCGUUAGCUGUAAUGUUGUAAGAUCUUCACCCUGGAUACCUGUAGCCUGUAGGCAGUGGUGGUAUGAAACCCUGAGGAAGAGGAGGGCUUGGAUGGAUGGGAUGGGAUGCGAUGCGACGCAGUUCAGCGAGGGAGAUCGAGCUCCCGCGCCGUGCCGCGCCACCACCGAGGUGCUUUCCGGCUCCACGGAGAUCUGGCUUCCGCAGUUACGUCGCCGCCGGGAUCGCCGUCGCGAGUUCUCUGUUCCUCUCUUCUUUUUUUUUUUUUUGAGAGGACUCUGUUCCUCUUUCGGGUGGAGCGAAUUUCACCCGGUGCAAUAAACCCCUUCCGUACAUUAAACUGCACUUAUUGAUUCAUUAGCGCAUGAGUUAUUUGUGAAGCUCUCAGUCACACUUUGGACAAUUUGGGCGGCAAGGAGGAAAGCCAUACAUGAAGGAAUAUUUCAGAGUCCCC